UACGUAGGUGGCGAGCGUUGUCCGGAUUUAACUGGGCGUAAAGAGCGCGCAGGCGGUCGUAUCAAGUCGCGUGUGAAAGCCCCCGGCUCCAAUUGGGGAGGGUACGCAUACUGUUCGACUCGAAGGCAGGAGAGGGUAGUGGAAUUCCCGGUGUAGUGGUGAAAUGCGUAGAUAUCGGGAGAACACCAGUGGCGAAGGCGACUACCUGGCCUGUUCUUGAACGCUGAGGCGCGAAAGCUAGGGAGCAAACGGG
rnacentral:rRNA from 1 species